AGAUAAACUAAAUCCGACUGAUAGAAGAGGUCUCUGAGAGAAACCCAAACUUGCACUUUUUAUUACUCUGCAUGUUGUGUUUUUCAUUCACCAGAACGGCUUCAAUUCACUUCACAAUAUAAUUCAACAAAACGUUGAUAUAGUAUGUUGUUGGAUUGGAUUUUUGAAACAAAAUAGACUAUAAAGAAACACUACCAUGUUUGGAAGUUAUUUUAAAAAAAUGAAAUUCUCUUUAGAUAGUGAAAUAGUUUAAUUGUUUAUUGAAGUGAGUUUCUAAUUACACAAAAUAAAGUUGGUUUAGAUAACCCAAGAUUGUUGAUUUCUACAAUAGCACAAUAAUAAAUGUAUUGAUAAUAAUAUUGUACUGACUGGAUUUUUUUCUCAUCAUUGAUUACAAGAAGAACCAAACCUAUAAACAUCAAUUCAAAAUGGCCGAGUCCGAGAGUGUACUGAGUAGAUUGAAGAUGAUGUUCGCUAACAACAGACGAUUUGAGCCUGAUGACAGAACCACAGAGAACAGCGUCAGUAAACAAACUGCUGACACGUGCGAAAUCUACAACACAGAGCGUCGUUUCUCACGCUCCAAGUCUGGCCGCGUCAAAAAUAAAGUCAGGAGAUAUUCAUCGAUAAGUGAGAUAAAUUUCACGGCGCCAGUCCAACCCCAAAAAUCUUUGCAAGCUAUAGACGAGGCUGGACAUCGGAAGGACGGCCAAUAAAACAAAUAAUUGAGCAUUCAAAUUAACAGGCAUGAUAUAAGCAUGAACAAUAAGGCUGUAUAACUUACAGGCCAUGAUAUACCGGUACGGCUUAGACAACAUCUACUAAUAUCAUAUUAAGCUCACAUACUAAUAUCACAAGAUGUUGGUAGAGGUGAUGAUGGCUUAGGGUACUCAGUAUAGUCUAUGCAUUGUUUUCUCAUAAAAAGUGGCUGUUGCACGGCUCUCGAGCUCUGAAUAAGUGAUUCUUCAAUCAGAGCUCUCAAUAAAAUUCAUUUGAUUGAAGAUAGUAAUGUUAUUGUGGUACCAUACCAUGGGUGAGUUCCCUUUGAAUAUUUAAAUUUUUCAAUACAGAAUCUACAAAUCAAUUUUAAUAUUGUGUAAGGUAUUAUGUAUCCCGAUCUACCGGUACGUUAAUUACUGGGAUAGGAAGAAUAUUUUUUAUUUUUCCAAUAAUUCUCAAUUUUGCUAUAUGUUUUCUCAUCUCUUUCAAAUGAAAAUACCUAGUUGUUACAAAUACAUACGAUAAACUCUAUCACCUAUCCAAAUGAGCGAUCCCGUGAAGAAAUAUCGAAUAAGUAAGUUUGAUUUAAUCUUAUUCAAAGGACAAUGAUACAGAGUGUUCAUUAUGUCGCGCACAUAAAAAUAAACAUGGUUUGUGAAAGUGGGUUUUUUUUAAUUGGUGUGUGGUCACCGCAAGAACGCAUUACUUUCGUAUAAACAAUAUGUGAAGUUAUUUAAUGUGUACAGGUUACAACAGGUCUGCAGUUUUGUUUUGUGUUACAUAAUGUAAUCAUGUUGUUUUUACAAGAAUAACGAGUGUUCCUUCUUGAAUAGAAUUCUACCAGUAUUCAACGCCUCCAGAUUUUUUCCUGUGGGGUUAUCUCUAGAGGGUUUGAUAAAUAGGCCUUAUACUUUGAAUAAACUUGAAGAUAGUAUAUAGCAGGUUGCCUUGAUCCCAUAAGACGCGUGGAGAACGCAGCCGGCUAUAGUGUGACGUCAUGCUCCGACCUCUCGGCCCGGCUUAACAUGCGGUUAAAUGUAAAAAUGCCUAACAUUAGCAAAUUAACCAUCAACACUACAUAUAACUACGUGAGUGACAUCAACAUUUUCAGCAUAUAAUCCUUUUUAUACUAGUAGUUUUGUGAACAGUAGACCUCGUGCAGUUAUAAACCACAGCCUCCUCUUAUACUGUCCAUCAGAGUAAAUCUUGUCUGUAUGUCGUGUCGGAGAAAUAUCGGUGUGAAACGGCUAAUGGUUGUUGGGGUUCUUCUUUUUCUUCUAUAUGCCGGCUCCGCGAAGGAGAUUGGCGAUCAUCAAUGCAAUCUUGAUUCUAUUGAUUGCAGCUUGGAACAGAGAUUUUAAGUCAAUGUUGAACCACUCUCUCAGGUUCUUUAACCACGAUGUUUUCCUUCUUCCAGGCCAGCGUCUUCCUUCAAUCUUACCCUCCAUGAUCAACUGCAGGAAUCUGUACUUUUCAUUGCGCAUCACAUGUCCAACAUACUGAAGCUUCUGACUCUUAAUACAGUAAACAACCUCCACUGUCGUCUCAAUUCGUUCUAAUAUACCUCAGAAUUCCUCACCCUUUCUGUCCAUGAAAUACGAAGAAUGCGUCGAUACAAUCACAGUUCAAACGCCUGCAGCUUUCCCUCCAAUGCCUUCGUUAAUGUCCAUCCCUCAUGCCCAUACAUCAACACUGGAAUGAUGUAGCACUUCAACAAACGAAUUCUAGUCUUGAGAACAAGGUUUCGAUUGCAUAAUACCCCUCUCAUUCUGAAAAAUGCUGCCCCUGCCUGUUCAAUCCUACUGCUCUUUAAUUACCUCCUUGUCGAAACUCCAUUUCUCAUGGCUGGAAGUGCAGACGAUCUUCAACUGCUGUUGAACCAUGUCAAUACAGCCAGCAAUAAGUAUGGAUUGUGUAUGAAUGUACGCAAAACAAAGUUCAUGGUUGUUAGCAGAGAACGUGUGGUUAGCAGAGAACAGUGAGGAUUGCUGGUAAGUUGGUGGAGCGUGUACAAAGCUUCAAAUAUCUUGGAUGUUGUGUUGGGGUUUGUGUAUCAAAAAUGCUAACAUCAGAAGCUAAUCUCCUUCAAGACAUACUGGUAACAGGUCAGCCCGAGUUCAAAGCAGAGAAAGAUCGAGAGACAAUACUAUGUUAUUUUAGUGAUUUAUUGCAUGCGAUCAAUAGUUUAUUUAAUAGUGCAUAAAAAUUGCAUUUAAUGAGGCAUGCAAUAACACAGCAGGUGAUUUUUUACCAAGUUACAUUGAUAUAUUAAUUGCAUACGCUAUUACAUGCAAUUAAUAAUUCACUCGACAGCUGAUGAUUAAUUCUAUAGUCUGAUUUUUACGGUAAUAUUGGCGUUAAAAGGAGACUCCUUUUCCUUUUGUAUUAUCUUUAAAAUGCAAAAUUAAAAAAACCCUAUAUAUACGUCGACGCGAAAUUCAAAAAGGAACAUACAUGUCAAAUUUCAUGAAAAUCUACCUAUUGCUGCGUUUUGCCGUAAAUGCGGAUCAUAAAUAUAAAGAGAAAUGCAAAACCAUCUAGGUACUUGAAUCUUAGACCUCACUUCGCUCGGUCAACUAUCCUUCAAAAUGUUAUCAUUUUUAUACUAUCCUUUAUACUGUAUACUAUCCUUAAAAUGAACUAACUCUGAUUGCUUUCUUGUGGUAGCCACACACCGUGUAUAUAAAAGCCCCACUUUUUGCAGACAAGUUUAUUUUGAUGUGCGCGAAAUAAUGAAUGCGCUGUAUAUUAUUUGAUUUAUUUAUAGAUAUUUGAUUACUGAGGUUGAAUUUAUUCAUUAACGAGAAACCACUUCUGUUUGUUACACAUUUAUCAUACUUAAGCAGAUUUAUUUCCUUGCUAUUUUAUAAAUAAAAAUAUGAUUAUGUGACAAUA